UUUAUUGGAGAGUUUGAUCCUGGCUCAGGAUGAACGCUGGCGGCGUGCCUAAUACAUGCAAGUCGAGCGAAUGGAUUGAGAGCUUGCUCUCAAGAAGUUAGCGGCGGACGGGUGAGUAACACGUAGGUAACCUGCCCAUAAGACUGGGAUAACUCCGGGAAACCGGGGCUAAUACCGGAUAAUAUUUUGAACUGCAUGGUUCGAAAUUGAAAGGCGGCUUCGGCUGUCACUUAUGGAUGGACCCGCGUCGCAUUAGCUAGUUGGUGAGGUAACGGCUCACCAAGGCAACGAUGCGUAGCCGACCUGAGAGGGUGAUCGGCCACACUGGGACUGAGACACGGCCCAGACUCCUACGGGAGGCAGCAGUAGGGAAUCUUCCGCAAUGGACGAAAGUCUGACGGAGCAACGCCGCGUGAGUGAUGAAGGCUUUCGGGUCGUAAAACUCUGUUGUUAGGGAAGAACAAGUGCUAGUUGAAUAAGCUGGCACCUUGACGGUACCUAACCAGAAAGCCACGGCUAACUACGUGCCAGCAGCCGCGGUAAUACGUAGGUGGCAAGCGUUAUCCGGAAUUAUUGGGCGUAAAGCGCGCGCAGGUGGUUUCUUAAGUCUGAUGUGAAAGCCCACGGCUCAACCGUG
rnacentral:rRNA from 1 species